rnacentral:rRNA from 1 species
UACGUAGGGGGCAAGCGUUGUCCGGAUUUAUUGGGCGUAAAGAGCUCGUAGGCGGUUUGGUAAGUCGGGUGUGAAAUCUCCACGCUCAACGUGGAGGGGCCACUCGAUACUGCCAUGACUCGAGUCCGGUAGAGGAGUGUGGAAUUCCAGGUGUAGCGGUGAAAUGCGUAGAUAUCUGGAGGAACACCGGUGGCGAAGGCGGCAUCCUGGACCGGUAUUGACGCUGAGGCGCGAAAGCCAGGGGAGCAAACGGG